rnacentral:pre_miRNA from 1 species
UUUUUAGCGUAAGUAUAUCCCAUACAAUGUUUGGGAUAUACUUAUAUUAAAA